UACGUAGGGUGCGAGCGUUAAUCGGAAUUACUGGGCGUAAAGCGUGCGCAGGCGGUUCGUCGUGUCUCGUGUGAAAGCCCCGGGCUCAACCUGGGAAUGGCAUGGGAAACUGGCGAACUGGAGUGUGGCAGAGGGGGGUGGAAUUCCGCGUGUAGCAGUGAAAUGCGUAGAGAUGCGGAGGAACACCGAUGGCGAGGCAGCCCCCUGGGCUGACACUGACGCUCAGGCACGAAAGCGUGGGGAGCAAACAGG
rnacentral:rRNA from 1 species